GAAAUGCGAUAAGUAGUGUGAAUUGCAGAAUUCAGUGAAUCAUCGAAUCUUUGAACGCACAUUGCGCCCCUUGGUAUUCCAUGGGGCAUGCCUGUUCGAGCGUCAUUUGUACCCUCAAGCUCUGCUUGGUGUUGGGUGUUUGUCCCCGUCUCCGCGCGUGGACUCGCCCCAAAGUGAUUGGCAGCCGGCGUACUGGUCCCGGAGCGCAGCACAUGUCGCGCAAACGAGUGCCUUGGUACGGCGGCGUCCAUAAGCCCCUCUCUCACGCUCUUGACCUCGGAUCAGGUUGGGAUACCCGCUGAACUUAAGC
rnacentral:misc_RNA from 1 species